CCCCCCCCAAAAAAAAAAAAAAGGUUACCUAUCUUUGGUGCUAACUGAUGUGUUUCAUAUGAUGUGUAGUAUGAAGCCUCAUUAGAGGCUAGCAGACAAGGAUUCUUGACAGUUCCUAGUUUCUUGGUUCAGGUAUUUGUAUUGAUAUAAGUCAUUUUUGUUGCUUCUGUUAGAAUUGUUGCCAGUUGAUUGUAGUGUUAUUCUUUCAAGAUUACUUUGUCAGUUUGAAUUUAUGAUUGUUGGAUGGUAAUAAAAGUUGUAUGACACCUAUUUAUGUCUGUCAUAGGCAACUCUAUUCCAUUUAGAUCAAGUUUCUAAUGAAAGUGAGAAAAAAUCUCUCAGCAGUUCUAGGGGUAUGGCUGCAAGAAGCUAAGAGUCCUCUAUUCUUACACUCAUUAUCCCCUUAUAUCCUGUUAUAGUACAUAGGUGGUAACUCUGUGAGAGAAAUUGAGAAACAAUGUUGUCAGAUAUGGCUCUUCCAUAUGAUUUUCAAGACUAUUUUAAACUCAUAAAUUCUCAGGGAUCUUUUUUUAUGCUUAUGAAAGGUUGUAUGUUUUGACUAAGGGGAUAUUGAAGAGAUUCUGAAGCUGAAGCAGUUGCUUUUAAAGUUAUAGAAAAUCGUCAGCAACUGUGUACAAGGUCGUUAAAAAAAAAAUCUUCAAUUCAAGGAGAAAACUCUAAGUAUUCACCAAUAAGCUAUACUAGUUAUAAAUUGGGCAAAUUUUUGCUCAACUAAUGAACUAUACGAAAUUGAAUGAAAAAUAUCUAUCCUUAUAGGUCGUUUCUCCACUUUGUUGGGUCCUUAUUAGUUAUUAUACUAUAAACAAAAUCAAAUAUUGUGUCUCAACUCUUGCUCGUUGCUCCCUUUUUUUAAAAAAAAAAAAAUAUUGUUUUAAAGAAUGUAAUAUGCUACUGAUAAUUUUUUUUAUUCAUGCUAUUAGGGAAACGAGUCAGAUGAAACCGAUCUACAAAAGUGGUUUGAAACAAAUCAAUUGGAUGUCGGAACAGAAAAAGUUGUGGUAAAACCAGCAAGAGGAGGAUCAAGCAUUAGUGUUACUGUUGCAUAUGGAGUUGCUGAUUCCUUUACAAAGGCUUGCCGAAUAAUAACAGAUGUAUGUAUUGUACAAUUGACAUGUCACUAGACAAUAGACAUUAAACUGUGAAGGUAAUCCCCCCUAAAUAAAGGUUAAGGAAAGAUAAAGGAGAGGAGGGAGAAAGAGGGGGUGGGGUGGUGUUAAAUUCUUAGUGAUGUGUGUCAUUAUUGAAUGACUUACUGUACUUGUACUUCAUUUAUACCCUAGCUGCCUUGCAUGAAGCUCAGUAAUUCAGUAUGGCCUAGAAUGAUGAGCGAAUUAAGCAACUCUGUUGUGCUGUUGGUCUGCUAGUUUUGUCUUAGUUUUUAUUCUAUUUAUCAACGAUGUAGUGCUCUUUAAUGGAUGUAUGACACAAAUAUUGAAGAAAAUAUGUGUUUUAUGUA